rnacentral:tRNA from 1 species
AAUAAAGUAAGCUAAAUUAAGCUAGUGGGUUCAUACCCCAAAUAUGAUUAUCUCCUUUAUUA